rnacentral:rRNA from 1 species
GAUGAACGCUAGCGGCAGGCUUAAUACAUGCAAGUCGAGGGGCAGCAGGUUUGUAGCAAUACAGAUGCUGGCGACCGGCAAACGGGUGCGGAACACGUACAGAACCUUCCUUUAAGCGGG